rnacentral:rRNA from 1 species
GACGAACGCUGGCGGCGUGCCUAAUACAUGCAAGUCGAGCGGACGGAUGGGAGCUUGCUCCCAGACCGUCAGCGGCGGACGGGUGAGUAACACGUGGGCAACCUGCCUGUAAGACUGGGAUAACUCCGGGAAACCGGGGCUAAUACCGGAUAACUCUUUCCCUCACAUGAGGGAAAGCUGAAAGAUGGCCUCUCGCUAUCACUUACAGAUGGGCCCGCGGCGCAUUAGCUAGUUGGUGAGGUAACGGCUCACCAAGGCGACGAUGCGUAGCCGACCUGAGAGGGUGAUCGGCCACACUGGGACUGAGACACGGCCCAGACUCCUACGGGAGGCAGCAGUAGGGAAUCUUCCGCAAUGGACGAAAGUCUGACGGAGCAACGCCGCGUGAGUGAUGAAGGUUUUCGGAUCGUAAAACUCUGUUGUCAGGGAAGAACAAGUACCGGAGUAACUGCCGGUACCUUGACGGUACCUGACCAGAAAGCCACGGCUAACUACGUG